rnacentral:rRNA from 1 species
CGAUACUUGGUGUGAAUUGCAGAAUUCAGUGAAUCAUCGAAUCUUUGAACGCACCUUGCGCUCCUUGGUAUUCCGAGGAGCAUGCCUGUUUGAGUGUCAUGGAACUAUCAACUCUAGUUGCUUGUGUAAUCAGAGUUGGAUGUGGAGGUUGUUUGCUGGGCCCACUUUGGUGUUCAGCUCCUCUUAAAUUUAUUAGCUUGAGCUCUUUGAGUGGAUUGGCUUUGGUGUGAUAAUUGUCUGCACCAUGCUGUGAAGCUAGGCUUUGGCUUUGAAUGUGUCCUCCCCCCUCUGGGGUGUGAGAACAAUUAACCCUUGGACCUCAAAUUCAAGGUAGGAUGGUCGUCCCGCUGAACUUAAGCAUAUCAAUAAGCGGAGGAA